GUCUACAGCCAUACCACCCUGAAUCUGCCCGAUCUCGGAAGCUAAGCAGGGUCAGGCCUGGUUAGUAUUUGGGUAGGAGAAAUACAUGACCAGAAGGAA
rnacentral:rRNA from 1 species